UGAGGAAUAUUGGUCAAUGGGCGGGAGCCUGAACCAGCCAAGUCGCGUGAAGGAAGAAGGAUCUAUGGUUCGUAAACUUCUUUUGCAGAGGAAUAAAGUGCAGGACGUGUCCUGUUUUGUAUGUACCCUGAGAAUAAGGAUCGGCUAACUCCGUGCCAGCAGCCGCGGUAAUACGGAGGAUCCGAGCGUUAUCCGGAUUUAUUGGGUUUAAAGGGUGCGUAGGUGGUUUGAUAAGUCAGCGGUGAAAGUUUGCGGCUUAACUGUAAAAAUGCCGUUGAAACUGUCGGACUUGAGUGUAGAUGAGGUAGGCGGAAUGCGUGGUGUAGCGGUGAAAUGCAUAGAUAUCACGCAGAACUCCGAUUGCGAAGGCAGCUUACUAAGCUACAACUGACACUGAAGCACGAAAGCG
rnacentral:rRNA from 1 species